rnacentral:lncRNA from 1 species
GCAGUUUCCAGUGGCCAGGGGUACGCGCGGCCGGAGGGGCGCCGGGGCCGUACUCACCGCGGCCGUUCUGGUUGGGCCGGUACACGCUGCCCACGCUGAGGCGGCCCUGCUGCGCGCCGUUCCGCUCCCCACCCGGCGGGGGCGUGUCGGAGCUGCGCACCGGCAGGAGCUCCUGCCUGCCUGGAUGAAGAGGAGGUCAAGACUUUGUCCCCCACUCCGCAAGAUACCCUCUCUGUUCCGGAGCGGUGGGUCCCUCCCCUGUUAGGACCUUGUCUCCCUCAGGACUGGACCUGGAUCCUGGGCCUGCAGUCAGAUUGCCAGUUUCACUUAGAGGUGGAAAUGUCAACCCACUGGUUGGAAUGGGAAGGUGAGACAGGAUUUCACCAUGUUAGCCAGGAUGGUCUUGAUCUCCUGACCUCAUGAUCUGCCCACCUCGGCCUCCCAAAGUGCUGGGCUUACAGGCGUGAGCCACCGUGCCCGGCCAAAAAUAACUUUUAAAAACAUGAGUAUAGCAUACACACACACAAAAGUCCACAAAUCCUAGGUGUACCACUUGAUGAAUGAUCCCAACGUGAGCACACCUCUGGAUUACCACCUGGAUCAAGAAAUAGGACAUCACAGCAGCUGGCAGCUUCCAAGGAGAAGCUCUGGAAAGUUCUGCCUGUCUCAGCACCUGGCUGGAUCGGAAACGAGUUUUCUUUAACCAGAUUUUUAAUGACUGACUUAUGUGGACAAAUCAUAACUGAAUGAAUCACCUCCUUUGUUGAUUUUUUUGGGUACUUUAUUUGCUAUUAUAAAUGAUGCUGUAAUAAGCACCCUUGAAGAAAUCUUCAUAUCUGCCUCUCCUGUGUAGCAGGUCACAGUGCCUGGGUUUGGUUCUAGCCCUCAUUUGUGAACUGUGUGACUCACCAUGCCUUUUUUCUUUCUGUAAGACAGGAAUAAUGGUAAGAAUUUAAAUGGGGGUAAUAUGGAGCGCGUUUAGUUCAGAGCCUGGUGCAUACAAGCACUCAAUAAGUACUGGCGAUUAUUAGACCUUUAGAUUAAUUUAUUAGAAGUUGGAUUUCUGGUGAAAGGGUUUGAGUGUUUUUGAGGCUUUGGCACAGAAUACCCAGCUGGUCCCAGAAAGGUGGUUCCCAUUUACCUGCCCGAAGGUAAUUCACCCUUACUGAUACUGAGUACUGUUUUCUAAAAGAACAUUAAAAAUUGGAUAGGUUAAAAACAGGUGAAUACAUUUUUUUAGUUGCAUUUUUUUGGUUACCCGUGAGAGUGAACAUGUUGCCAUGUGUUUGCUGACCUCCUAAAUGGUCUAUUUGCUCCUACCUUUGUACCCCAAAAGUCUGCUCUCAAGAUGGUAGCCAGAAUGAUCCUUUUUGAGACAUAAGUCAAAAUUUCACUCUUCUCCUUAAAGCUCUGCAAUGGUUCUCAGGUUAAAAGCCAAAGUCCUGUUCAAGGCCUCCAGGGUCCUCACCACUUGGUCCCUUGCUCUUUCUGUUCUAGCCAACUUGGCCUUCUCCUGCCCCUCCGCCGCACCAUGGCAAUUUCCCCUGCUCUGUGUGGUCAACUACCUGAAUCUGUUCAAAGCUUUGCUCAAAUGUCUCCUUCCUGAUGAGACCUCCCCAGCCCCUGAGCUCCCCAUGCCUCACUCCUGAUCGCCUUACUUAACCCUUCUUUUUCUUUUUUGCCAGUAGUACUUAUCACCGUCUAAAAUACUUCAUAAUUUACUUGUUUAUUGUUUGCCCCUCUCCAAUAGAAUGUAAGCUCCUUGGGGCAGGGACCUUUGUCCUUUGUCUUGUUCACUGCUGUGUCCCAUGUGUAAACUUGUCUGGCACAGAAGAGGUGCUCGAUAAAUAUUUGUUGAGUGAAUGAAUGGUAAAUUUUCUGUUCAUAUUCUUUGACUAUUUUCUAUUGUAAUGUUCAUCUUUUUAGUAUUGGUUUAUAAGAUGUAUAUUUAGCACCUUUUCAUAUAUCACUCUUUGUCACAUAUUAUGCAACUAAUUUGUCAUUUCCAUCAAUUUUUAAAAUACUUUCUUGAUGCUUCAUUUUUAAGCUGUCAGAUUAUUAAUCUUUUCUUUAUGGUCUUGGACUUUAUUGUUGCAUAACCGCUGCCUUCACCAGGAACAUAUAAAUUUUCAAUUAAAUGUUCUUCUGAGAUUUUAUGAUUUCACUUUUUAUAUUAAACUCUUCAUUUUGUCUUCAUGUGUGGUGAGAGGUAAGAACAUAACUUUAAAGCAAAUUAACCAACUAUCCCCAAAUGAAUUAUAAAUAAAUUAAUCAUUUUCCAAUGA